rnacentral:rRNA from 1 species
GACGUAGGGCGCGAGCGUUGUCCGGAUUUAUUGGGCGUAAAGAGCUCGUAGGCGGCUCGUUGCGUCGGCUGUGAAAACCCGCAGCUCAACUGUGGGCUUGCAGCUGAUACGGGCGGGCUGGAGUUCGGUAGGGGAGACUGGAAUUCCUGGUGUAGCGGUGAAAUGCGCAGAUAUCAGGAGGAACACCGGUGGCGAAGGCGGGUCUCUGGGCCGAUACUGACGCUGAGGAGCGAAAGCGUGGGGAGCGAGCAGG